rnacentral:rRNA from 1 species
GACGAACGCUGGCGGCGUGCUUAACACAUGCAAGUCGAGCGGUAAGGCCCUUUCGGGGGUACACGAGCGGCGAACGGGUGAGUAACACGUGGGUGACCUGCCCUCAGCUCUGGGAUAAGCCCGGGAAACUGGGUCUAAUACUGGAUAUGACUCCAUGACGCAUGUUGUGGGGUGGAAAGCCUUGUGCGGCUGAGGAUGGGCCCGCGGCCUAUCAGCUUGUGGUGGGGGAUGGCCUACCAAGGCGACGACGGGUAGCCGGCCUGAGAGGGCGACCGGCCACACUGGGACUGAGACACGGUCCAGACUCCUACGGGAGGCAGCAGUGGGGAAUCUUGCGCAAUGGGCGAAAGCCUGACGCAGCGACGCCGCGUGAGGGAUGACGGCCUGG